rnacentral:lncRNA from 1 species
UGAUAGUGUGACGACUUCUGACCUUUUAAAUUAUUUUUUUAUAGUAAAUGGAUCCCGAUCCAGUUGCGGCUGAUGAUGUAGAGAGUAAUGUACCAGCUCCGGUUGAAGGGGCGAUGCCAACUAAAAACCCACCUCCUACAAUUGGUCAAGGAGGAGGAGAAGGGGCUCAGGAAGCCUUUCUCCAGAUGAUAAGUGCCUGGUAUACUGAGUUUGUUCGUAUGAACCCGAAUACACAACCUCUCCCACCU